UCCCCAUGGCAAUGGGCAAAGAGACACCUUCUUGGUCAUGUUCUUAUAUUGGCCAGGGCAGAGCAUAUGGCAAUCCUUUGUUCAUCCUAGCUUGAUGCAUAUUGUGGUGGCCAAAGCUGUUUUAUGCCUAGGGCACAUAA